rnacentral:rRNA from 1 species
AGAACGAACGCUGGCGGCAUGCCUAAUACAUGCAAGUCGAACGAACUCUUCGGAGUUAGUGGCGCACGGGUGCGUAACGCGUGGGAAUCUGCCCCUUGGUUCGGAAUAACAGUUGGAAACGACUGCUAAUACCGGAUGAUGACGAAAGUCCAAAGAUUUAUCG